UACGUAGGGUGCAAGCGUUGUCCGGAAUUAUUGGGCGUAAAGCGCACGUAGGCGGUUCGUUAAGUCGGAUGUGAAAGCCCUCGGCUCAACUGAGGAAGUGCACCCGAAACUGGCGAGCUUGAGUACGAAAGAGGAUCGCGGAAUUCCCGGUGUAGAGGUGAAAUGCGUAGAUAUCGGGAGGAAUACCAGUGGCGAAGGCGGCUGCCUGGCCUGUUCUUGACGCUGAGGCGCGAAAGCUGGGGGAGCAAACGGG
rnacentral:rRNA from 1 species